rnacentral:rRNA from 1 species
GACGAACCGUGCGAACGUUGUUCGGAAUCACUGGGCUUAAAGGGCGCGUAGGCGGGCUGCCAAGUCUGGGGUGAAAUCCUCCGGCUCAACCGGAGAACGGCCUGGGAUACUGGCGGCCUCGAGGGGGGUAGGGGCAUGCGGAACUAUGGGUGGAGCGGUGAAAUGCGUUGAUAUCCAUAGGAACUCCGGUGGCGAAAGCGGCGUGCUGGACCUCUUCUGACGCUGAAGCGCGAAAGCCAGGGGAGCGAACGGG